UUCUGGUUGAUCCUGCCAGACCCGACUGCUAUCGAAGUGGGACUAAGCCAUGUUAGUCGAACGUCUUUCAACUAUGUGAUUGGCGUGGCGUACGGCUCAGUAACACGUUGUUAACCUACCCUCAAGACGUGGAUAACCCCGGGAAACUGGGAUUAAACCACGAUAGAUCAAGAUUUCUGGAAUGGAUUUUGUUCCAAAGGAAGGAUGAGCAUGUUCAUCUAUUUGCUUCAGGAUGGGACUGCGUCCGAUCAGGUUGUUGGUGGAGUAAUAGCCCACCAAGCCUGUAACCGGUACGGGCUUUGAGAGAAGGAGCCCGGAGAUGGACACUGAGAAAAGAGUCCAGGUCCUACGGGGCGCAGCAGGCGCGAAACCUUCGCAAUGCACGAAAGUGCGACGAGGCUACUUCGAGUGUCAUCCGCUGAGGAUGACUUUUGUCAGGUGUAAAAAGCCUGGAGAAUAAGGGGAGGGCAAGUCUGGUGUCAGCCGCCGCGGUAAUACCAGCUCCCCGAGUGGUCGGGACGAUUAUUGGGCCUAAAGCAUCCGUAGCCCGCUCUGUAGGUCUUCUGUUAAAUUCAACGGCUCAACCGUUGAGCUGCAGGAGAUACCGCAGGGCUAGGAGGCGGAAGAGGUAGACGGUACUCCAUGGGUAGGGGUAAAAUCCUCUGAUCCAUGGAAGACCACCAGUGGCGAAGGCGGUCUACCAGAACGCGCUCGACGGUGAGGGAUGAAAGCUGGGGGAGCGAACCGGAUUAGAUACCCGGGUAGUCCCAGCUGUAAACGAUGCGAGCUAGGUGACGGAGUGGUUCCGUACCAUUCCGGUGCCGCAGGGAAGCCGUUAAGCUCGCCGCCUGGGGAGUACGGUCGCAAGACUGAAACUUAAAGGAAUUGGCGGGGGAGCACCACAAGGGGUGAAGCCUGCGGUUCAAUUGGACUCAACGCCGGGA
rnacentral:rRNA from 1 species